GUCGAGCGAACGGAUAAGGAGCUUGCUCCUUUGAAGUUAGCGGCGGACGGGUGAGUAACACGUGGGUAACCUACCUAUAAGACUGGAAUAACUUCGGGAAACCGGAGCUAAUGCCGGAUAACAUAUAGAACCGCAUGGUUCUAUAGUGAAAGAUGGUUUUGCUAUCACUUAUAGAUGGACCCGCGCCGUAUUAGCUAGUUGGUAAGGUAAUGGCUUACCAAGGCGACGAUACGUAGCCGACCUGAGAGGGUGAUCGGCCACACUGGAACUGAGACACGGUCCAGACUCCUACGGGAGGCAGCAGUAGGGAAUCUUCCGCAAUGGGCGAAAGCCUGACGGAGCAACGCCGCGUGAGUGAUGAAGGUUUUCGGAUCGUAAAACUCUGUUAUUAGGGAAGAACAAAUGCGUAAGUAACUGUGCGCAUCUUGACGGUACCUAAUCAGAAAGCCACGGCUAACUACGUGCCAGCAGCCGCGGUAAUACGUAGGUGGCAAGCGUUAUCCGGAAUUAUUGGGCGUAAAGCGCGCGUAGGCGGUUUCUUAAGUCUGAUGUGAAAGCCCACGGCUCAACCGUGGAGGGUCAUUGGAAACUGGGAAACUUGAGUGCAGAAGAGGAAAGUGGAAUUCCAUGUGUAGCGGUGAAAUGCGCAGAGAUAUGGAGGAACACCAGUGGCGAAGGCGACUUUCUGGUCUGUAACUGACGCUGAUGUGCGAAAGCGUGGGGAUCAAACAGGAUUAGAUACCCUGGUAGUCCACGCCGUAAACGAUGAGUGCUAAGUGUUAGGGGGUUUCCGCCCCUUA
rnacentral:rRNA from 1 species